AUUGAACGCUGGCGGCAGGCCUAACACAUGCAAGUCGAACGAGUGGCGGACGGGUGCGUAAUGUCUGGGAAACUGCCCGAUGGAGGGGGAUAACUACUGGAAACGGUAGCUAAUACCGCAUACCAUCGGAUGUGCCCAGAUGGGAUUAGCUUGUAGGUGAGGUAACGGCGCACCUCGGCGACGAUCCCUAGCUGGUCUGAGAGGAUGACCAGCCACACUGGAAAUGAGACACGGUCCAGACUCCGACGGGAGGCAGCAGUGGGGAAUAUGGCAAAAUGGGCGCAAGCCUGAUGCAGCCAUGCAGCGGGUAUGAAGAAGGCCGGCGGGUUGUAAAGUACUUUCAGCUGGGAGGCGUUACCCGCAGAAGAAGCACCGGCUAACUCCGUGCCAGCAGCCGCGGUAAUAC
rnacentral:rRNA from 1 species